GCCUGACGUCACUUCCGCCCACCCCUCCUCCCUCCCUCUCUCUCUCUCUCUCUCCUCAACGGCGUGUGCGCAGGGUGACCAAGAUGCAGAUCUUUGUCAAGACCCUCACGGGCAAGACGAUCACACUCGACGUUGAAGCCUCGGAUGCCAUCGAUGUCGUCAAGGGGAAGAUUCAUGACAAGGAGGGAAUCCCUCCGGAACAGCAGAGGCUGAUCUUCGCCGGCAAGCAGUUGGAGGAUGGCCGCACGUUGGGAGAUUAUAACAUCCAGAAGGAGUCGACCCUUCACCUCGUCCUCAGGCUCAGGGGAGGCAUCAUUGAGCCUUCGCUGAAGCAGCUCGCCAUGAAGUACAACUGUGACAAGAUGAUCUGCCGCAAGUGCUAUGCCCGUCUGCACCCGCGCGCUGUGAAUUGCCGUAAGCAGAAGUGCGGUCACACCAACAACCUGCGUCCCAAGAAGAAGCUGAAGUGAGCGCAGGAACCACGCUGGAGACGGUUCCGGGAGGUUCUGGGAGUCUCCGGGAGUCUCCGGGAGUCUCCAGAAGUCUCCGGGAGGUUCUGGGAGUCUCUUGAAGGUUCUGGAAGUCUCUAGGAGGUUCUGGAAGUCUCCGGAAGUGUCCGUGAGGUUCUGGGGGUCUCUAGGAGGUUCUGGAAGUCUCUUGAAGGUUCUGGAAGUCUCUGGAAGUCUCCGGGAGGUUCUGGAAGUCUCCGGGAGGUUCUGGAAGUCUCUAGGAGGUUCUGGAAGUCUCUGGAAGUCUCCGGGAGGUUCUGGAAGUCUCCGGAAGUCUCCGGGAGGUUCUGGGAGUCUCUUGAAGGUUCUGGAAGUCUCUGGGAGUCUCCGGGAGGUUCUGGGGGUCUCUUGAAGGUUCUGGAAGUCUCUGGAAGUCUCCGGGAGGUUCUGGAAGUCUCUAGGAGGUUCUGGAAGUCUCCGGAAGUCUCCGGGAGGUUCUGGAAGUCUCCAGGAGGUUCUGGGGGUCUCUUGAAGGUUCUGGAAGUCUCUGGAAGUCUCCGGGUGGUUCUGGAAGUCUCCGGGAGGUUCUGGAAGUCUCUAGGAGGUUCUGGAAGUCUCUGGAAGUCUCCGGGAGGUUCUGGGGGUCUCUAGGAGGUUCUGGAAGUCUCUAGGAGGUUCUGGAAGUCUCCGGGAGGUUCUGGAAGUCUCCGGGAGGUUCUGGAAGUCUCUGGAAGUCUCUAGGAGGUUCUGGAAGUCUCUAGGAGGUUCUGGGGGUCUCUAGGAGGUUCUGGAAGUCUCCAGGAGGUUCUGGAAGUCUCUGGAAGUCUCCGGGAGGUUCUGGAAGUCUCCGGGAGGUUCUGGAAGUCUCCAGGAGGUUCUGGGGGUCUCUAGGAGGUUCUGGAAGUCUCCGGGAGGUUCUGGAAGUCUCUGGAAGUCUCCGGGAGGUUCUGGAAGUCUCUAGGAGGUUCUGGAAGUCUCCGGAAGUCUCCGGGAGGUUCUGGAAGUCUCCAGGAGGUUCUGGAAGUCUCUGGAAGUCUCCGGGAGGUUCUGGAAGUCUCUAGGAGGUUCUGGAAGUCUCUGGAAGUCUCCGGGAGGUUCUGGAAGUCUCUAGGAGGUUCUGGGGGUCUCCGGAAGUCUC